rnacentral:tRNA from 1 species
UCCUUAGUAGCUCAAUGGUAGAGCAGUCGGCUAUUAACUGACUGGUCGUAGGUUCAAAUCCCUCCCUGGGCA